UACGUAGGUGGCAAGCGUUGUCCGGAUUUAUUGGGUUUAAAGGAUACGUAGGCGAUCCUAUAAAUCAGUGCUGAAAUAUCCCGGCUUAACCGGGAGGGUGGCAUUGAUACUGUAGGACUUGAGUAAAGUUGAGGUAAGCGGAAUUGACGGUGUAGCGGUGAAAUGCUUAGAUAUCGUCAAGAACACCUAUUGCGAAGGCAGCUUACUAAGCUUUAACUGACGCUGAGGCACGAAAGUGUGGGGAUCAAACAGG
rnacentral:rRNA from 1 species